rnacentral:rRNA from 1 species
GACGAACGCUGGCGGCGUGCUUAACACAUGCGAGUCGAACGGUAAGGCCCUUCGGGGUACACGAGUGGCGAACGGGUGAGUAACACGUGGGUGAUCUGCCCUGCACUUCGGGAUAAGCCUGGGAAACUGGGUCUAAUACCGGAUAGGACCACUGCCUGCAUGGGUGGUGGUGGAAAGCUUUUGCGGUGUGGGAUGGGCCCGCGGCCUAUCAGCUUGUUGGUGGGGUGAUGGCCUACCAAGGCGACGACGGGUAGCCGGCCUGAGAGGGUGACCGGCCACACUGGGACUGAGAUACGGCCCAGACUCCUACGGGGGGCAGCAGUGGGGAAUAUUGCACAAUGGGCGCAAGCCUGAUGCAGCGACGCCGCGUGAGGGAUGACGGCCUUCGGGUUGUAAGCCUCUUUCAGCACCGACGAAGCGCAAGUGACGGUAGGUGCAGAAGAAGGACCGGCCAACUACGUGCCAGCCGCCGCCGUAA